rnacentral:rRNA from 1 species
AGUGAACGCUGGCGGUAGGCCUAACACAUGCAAGUCGAACGGCAGCACAGUAAGAGCUUGCUCUUACGGGUGGCGAGUGGCGGACGGGUGAGGAAUACAUCGGAAUCUACUUUUUCGUGGGGGAUAACGUAGGGAAACUUACGCUAAUACCGCAUACGACCUACGGGUGAAAGCAGGGGAUCUUCGGACCUUGCGCGAUUGAAUGAGCCGAUGUCGGAUUAGCUAGUUGGCGGGGUAAAGGCCCACCAAGGCGACGACCCGUAGCUGGUCUGAGAGGAUGAUCAGCCACACUGGAACUGAGACACGGUCCAGAAUCCUACGGGAGGCAGCAGUGGGGAAUAUUGGACAAUGGGCGCAAGCCUGAUCCAGCCAUACCGCGUGGGUGAAGAAGGCCUUCGGGUUGUAAAGCCCUUUUGUUGGGAAAGAAAAGCAGCAGGUUAAUACCCCGCUGUUCUGACGGUACCCAAAGAAUAAGCACCGGCUAACUUCGU